GAUGAACGCUGGCGGCGUGCUUAACACAUGCGAGUCGAGCGAAUGGAUUAAGAGCUUGCUCUUAUGAAGUUAGCGGCGGACGGGUGAGUAACACGUGGGUAACCUGCCCAUAAGACUGGGAUAACUCCGGGAAACCGGGGCUAAUACCGGAUAACAUUUUGAACCGCAUGGUUCGAAAUUGAAAGGCGGCUUCGGCUGUCACUUAUGGAUGGACCCGCGUCGCAUUAGCUAGUUGGUGAGGUAACGGCUCACCAAGGCAACGAUGCGUAGCCGACCUGAGAGGGUGCUCGGCCACACUGGGACUGAGACACGGCCCAGACUCCUACGGGAGGUAGCAGUAGGGAAUCUUCCGCAAUGGACGAAAGUCUGACGGAGCAACGCCGCGGGAGUGAUGAAGGCUUUCGGGUCGUAAAACUCUGUUGUUAGGGAAGAACAAGUGCUAGUUGAAUAAGCUGGCACCUUGACGGUACCUAACCAGAAAGCCACGGCUAACUACGUGCCAGCCGCCGCCGUAA
rnacentral:rRNA from 1 species